CGAGUGAACAGGGAACAGCCCAGCACCGAAGCCUGUGGCCAGUUGGUCAUUAGGCAAUGUGGUGUUAAGGUCGGUCUGUAGGGACACUGCUCCAUCCUAAGUCCAGCAAUGAGUACGGUAGUACGGACAUGGCCCAUUGAGGGUGAAAGGCCCGUGAGGGUGGAGGUUCAGUAUGCCAGUAUCCUUAUGGACUGACCUUGGAGUCGGGUUGUUUGAGAAUGCAGCCCAAAGUGGGUGGUAAACUCCAUCCAAGGCUAAAUACUUGCACGAAUCCGAUAGCGAACAAGUACCGUGAGGGAAAGUUGAAAAGUACUUUGAAGAGAGAGUAAACAGUGCGUGAAGCCGGUCAGAGGUAAACGGGUGGAGUUGAACUGCGUGCUCUGUGAAUUCAGCUGGUGAGGUUGGUUUGACCUUGGUCAAAUGGGUUGGCACUGAGGUAUGCUUAGCUGCAUGUCCUGGUCUUUUGGUUGGGAUGCGCGUUGCGCUUAUCAAGUGUUGUGCGCCUCAGUUGUUAUUCCUGCCCACUUGUCAGUGCACUUUCUCAGAGCGGUCACCACGACCGGCGUUGCUGUCUGACUAAUCCGGUUAAACCGGUUAUUCAGUGUCCGUGUGGCGCUGAUUGAUCGGGAUGGCAGGUGGCUCGAUUGCUUGUUCUCAUGCUUUCGGGUGUUAUAAGCUGACCGGAGUGGGUUUGUGCAGUACGUCGGAGACGGCGGUCAUUGGUGUGUGCAAGCGAUUCAUACUUACUGGUGAUUCCUGGUUUGGUUGCUACGUAGCCUGCUAAGUCAGGUCGAGUGAUGGCUGGGUAUCAUGCGGUAGGUGGAGACGCAUGUGGCACUGCUCCUGGGCCAAUAGUCUGUGGUGUUGUGGUAGACUAUCCACCUGACCCGUCUUGAAACACGGACCAAGGAGAGUAACAUGUGCGCGAGUCAUUGGGCGUAACGAAACCCAAAGGCGCAGUGAAAGUAAAGGUCUGGCUUGUCCAGGCUUAGGUGAGAUCCUGUUGUUUCUUACGCGUGGUACUUCCAAGCGAAGAGCGAUAGGCGCAACACCAGCCCGCUCCAUGGCGUAGACAUGGCCUUGUGCUCGUGCACCGCCGGGGUGGCGCAAGAGCGUACAUGUUGAGACCCGAAAGAUGGUGAACUAUGCUUGCGCAGGUUGAAGCCAGAGGAAACUCUGGUGGAGGACCGCAGCGAUUCUGACGUGCAAAUCGAUCGUCAAACGUGAGUAUAGG
rnacentral:rRNA from 1 species